rnacentral:rRNA from 1 species
AGUGAACGCUGGCGGUAGGCCUAACACAUGCAAGUCGAACGGCAGCACAGUAAGAGCUUGCUCUUACGGGUGGCGAGUGGCGGACGGGUGAGGAAUACAUCGGAAUCUACUUUUUCGUGGGGGAUAACGUAGGGAAACUUACGCUAAUACCGCAUACGACCUACGGGUGAAAGCAGGGGAUCUUCGGACCUUGCGCGAUUGAAUGAGCCGAUGUCGGAUUAGCUAGUUGGCGGGGUAAAGGCCCACCAAGGCGACGAUCCGUAGCUGGUCUGAGAGGAUGAUCAGCCACACUGGAGCUGAGACACGGUCCAGACUCCUACGGGAGGCAGCAGUGGGGAAUAUUGGACAGUGGGCGAAAGCCUGAUCCAGCAAUACCGCGUGGGUGAAGAAGGCCUUCGGGUUGUAAAGCCCUUUUGUUGGGAAAGAAAAGCAGCAGGUUAAUACCCCGCUGUUCUGACGGUACCCAAAGAAUAAGCACCGGCUAACUUCGUG